rnacentral:rRNA from 1 species
AUACGUAGGUGACAAGCGUUAUCCGGAUUUACUGGGCGUAAAGGGCGUGUAGGCGGUCUUGCAAGUCAGAAGUGAAAUUCCUGAGCUCAACUCGGGCGCUGCUUCUGAAACUGCAGGACUUGAGUGCUGGAGGGGAUAGCGGAAUUCCUAGUGGAGCGGUAAAAUGCGCAGGUAUUAGGAAGAACACCGGUGGCGAAGGCGGCUAUCUGGACAGUAACUGACGCUGAGGCGCGAAAGCGUGGGGAGCAAACAGGAUUAGAUACCCUGGUAGUCCACACUGUAAACGAUGAAUGCUAGGUGUAGGAGGUAUCGACCCCUUCUGUGCCGCAGUAAACACAGUAAGCAUUCCGCCUGGGGAGUACGGUCGCAAGAUUAAAACUCAAAUGAAUUGACGGGG